GGAAGAGGCAUGUCUGUGGUUAGGUAACGUGUAGUUUGUCUUCGUUGUGUCGAGCUCUGGAUUUUAAAGAAACUUAUCUGAUGCAAGAUGUGUUUAGGUGAAACAGGUGAAAAUUUGUUUUAACCUUUUGACUGAUGAUUCUUCUUUGUGUUUGGUAGAUUAUACCAGUUUAAUAAGUCAUUAUUAUAAGGAAAUCUAGUAGACAAUAAUAAUUCAAAAAUGAUAAUCUGUUUUAUCCGUGUUCCUAGCAGAUAAAUGCUCUAUAUUGAAUUAUGAAUGGUGUGCUAGGAAUACAAGAUUUUUGAAAUGUGUUCAGAUCCUAAUUGCAUUUUGUUUUGUUUGGAUGUUCAACUUUGGAACUGAUGAUAAUGGAGAGUUUAAAGAAAAUGUUGUAAUUUUAAGGACUAUAAAUUCUGAAAAUGGAGCAUAGCUCCAAAAGUGCAUUAUGUAAAUGAGGUGUUUAAAUAUUUUGAAAUAGAGCAGGCUUAUUUGAUGAUAGUUAGUUAAGAGUUGGCAGUGAUUGAUUAUAGAAUGAAUAAGUCAUACUUAACAAAAAUAUCUAAAAAAGAUCACUGUAAAGACACUGCACAGCAUUAUCCAGGGCUCAGGAUUGAAUCUGGGUGGAAAAUCUCAGAGAUUUUUCAUGAAUGAUUUACCUGGAUGUGUUGAGCCCUGUCUUGCCACUAGAAUAUCUCCAUUAUGUGCCUGGUUGAAUACAUGAUUGGCAUGAUUGAAAAGUUCCCUUAGUGCCCACUGAGUGAAAAAAAGUUGAAAGGAAAAAAAAAUAGCUAAAAUAAAAGCAAAGUUGUAAAAUAUCAAUAUUUUUAGAAGAGUUCUUUAAUCUUAUAUUUUUAAUGACUCACCUGAAGAGUGGAAACUAGUGAAAACUCGUAUGUUUUAGAUCUGUGAUUUGUUAAAGAAGUACCAACUGUGGUAUUAAACUAGUUUUAAUUCAUAUAUUUGAAUUUUAUAUUAUUGGCUUUUCCAGUCACAGAUUAAGUUAACACCAAUGACCUAGAAACUUAAGGCCAUAUAACAUCAAGGCCAAUUUGAGAUAAAUUUAAAUGAAA
rnacentral:lncRNA from 1 species